UACAGAGGGGGCAAGCGUUAUUCGGAAUUACUGGGCGUAAAGGGCGCGUAGGCGGCCUGGUAAGUGGAAGGUGAAAUCCCUCGGCUUAACCGAGGAACUGCCCUCCAAACUGCUUGGCUUGAGUCCGGGAGAGGUGAGUGGAAUUCCCAGUGUAGCGGUGAAAUGCGUAGAUAUUGGGAGGAACACCAGUGGCGAAGGCGGCUCACUGGACCGGAACUGACGCUGAGGCGCGAAAGCGUGGGGAGCAAACGGG
rnacentral:rRNA from 1 species